rnacentral:rRNA from 1 species
GGAAAAGCUGGUCGUUAAUACCGAGCAGCCUGGACGUUGUUCCCAUAAGAAGCUGCGGCUAACUCCUGUGCCAGCAAGCCUGCGGUAAUACGGAGGGUGCAAGCGUUAAUCGGAAUUACUGGCUAGUAAAGCGUGCGUAGGUGCUUUGAUAAGCAAGUAUGUAAAAGCCCCGGGCUUAACCUGGAAACGGCAUUCUCGAACAGUCAGGCUAGAGUAUGGUAGAGGAGUCGUGGACUUUCCUGUGUAGCGGUCAAAUGCGUAGAUAUAGGAAGGUAACCACAGUGAGCGAAGAGCGGCACUCCUGGUACCAAUACUGCACG